rnacentral:rRNA from 1 species
UGCAAGUCGACGGGAUCCAUCAGGCUUUGCUUGGUGGUGAGAGUGGCGAACGGGUGAGUAAUGCGUGACCGACCUGCCCCAUACACCGGAAUAGCUCCUGGAAACGGGUGGUAAUGCCGGAUGCUCCGACUCCUCGCAUGGGGUGUCGGGAAAGAUUUCAUCGGUAUGGGAUGGGGUCGCGUCCUAUCAGGUAGUCGGCGGGGUAACGGCCCACCGAGCCUACGACGGGUAGCCGGCCUGAGAGGGCGACCGGCCACAUUGGGACUGAGAUACGGCCCAGACUCCUACGGGAGGCAGCAGUGGGGAAUAUUGCACAAUGGGCGCAAGCCUGAUGCAGCGACGCCGCGUGCGGGAUGACGGCCUUCGGGUUGUAAACCGCUUUUGAUCGGGAGCAAGCCUUCGGGUGAGUGUACCUUUCGAAUAAGCACCGGCUAACUACGUGCCAGCAGCCGCGGUAAUACGUAGGGUGCAAGCGUUAUCCGGAAUUAUUGGGCGUAAAGGGCUCGUAGGCGGUUCGUCGCGUCCGGUGUGAAAGUCCAUCGCUUAACGGUGGAUCUGCGCCGGGUACGGGCGGGCUGGAGUGCGGUAGGGGAGACUGGAAUUCCCGGUGUAACGGUGGAAUGUGUAGAUAUCGGGAAGAACACCAAUGGCGAAGGCAGGUCUCUGGGCCGUUACUGACGCUGAGGAGCGAAAGCGUGGGGAGCGAACAGGAUUAGAUACCCUGGUAGUCCACGCCGUAAACGGUGGAUGCUGGAUGUGGGGCCCGUUCCACGGGUUCCGUGUCGGAGCUAACGCGUUAAGCAUCCCGCCUGGGGAGUACGGCCGCAAGGCUAAAACUCAAAGAAAUUGACGGGGGCCCGCACAAGCGGCGGAGCAUGCGGAUUAAUUCGAUGCAACGCGAAGAACCUUACCUGGGCUUGACAUGUUCCCGACAGCCGUAGAGAUAUGGCCUCCCUUCGGGGCGGGUUCACAGGUGGUGCAUGGUCGUCGUCAGCUCGUGUCGUGAGAUGUUGGGUUAAGUCCCGCAACGAGCGCAACCCUCGCCCUGUGUUGCCAGCACGUCAUGGUGGGAACUCACGGGGGACCGCCGGGGUCAACUCGGAGGAAGGUGGGGAUGACGUCAGAUCAUCAUGCCCCUUACGUCCAGGGCUUCACGCAUGCUACAAUGGCCGGUACAACGGGAUGCGACACGGCGACGUGGAGCGGAUCCCUGAAAACCGGUCUCAGUUCGGAUUGGAGUCUGCAACCCGACUCCAUGAAGGCGGAGUCGCUAGUAAUCGCGGAUCAGCAACGCCGCGGUGAAUGCGUUCCCGGGCCUUGUACACACCGCCCGUCAAGUCAUGAAAGUGGGUAGCACCCGAAGCCGGUGGCCU